rnacentral:rRNA from 1 species
UCCUACGGGGCGCAGCAGUGAGGAAUAUUGGUCAAUGGGCGGGAGCCUGAACCAGCCAAGCCGCGUGAAGGAAGAAGGCGCCAGGCGUCGUAAACUUCUUUUGUCGGGGAACAAAGGGCGCCACGCGUGGCGUUGUGAGUGUACCCGAAGAAAAAGCAUCGGCUAACUCCGUGCCAGCAGCCGCGGUAAUACGGAGGAUGCGAGCGUUAUCCGGAUUUAUUGGGUUUAAAGGGUGCGUAGGCGGUCCGGAAAGUCAACGGUAAAAGCCCGGGGCUCAACCCCGGCCAGCCGUUGAAACUGUCGGG